rnacentral:rRNA from 1 species
UACGUAGGGUGCGAGCGUUGUCCGGAAUUAUUGGGCGUAAAGAGCUCGUAGGCGGUCUGUCGCGUCGGAUGUGAAAGCCCGGGGCUUAACUCCGGGUCUGCAUUCGAUACGGGCAGACUAGAGUGUGGUAGGGGAGAUCGGAAUUCCUGGUGUAGCGGUGAAAUGCGCAGAUAUCAGGAGGAACACCGGUGGCGAAGGCGGAUCUCUGGGCCAUUACUGACGCUGAGGAGCGAAAGCGUGGGGAGCAAACAGG